UACGUAGGGCGCAAACGUUAUCCGGAAUUAUUGGGCGUAAAGAGCUCGUAGGCGGUUUGUCGCGUCUGCCGUGAAAGUCCGGGGCUCAACUCCGGAUCUGCGGUGGGUACGGGCAGACUAGAGUGAUGUAGGGGAGACUGGAAUUCCUGGUGUAGCGGUGAAAUGCGCAGAUAUCAGGAGGAACACCGGUGGCGAAGGCGGGUCUCUGGGCCGAUACUGACGCUGAGGAGCGAAAGCGUGGGGAGCGAACAGG
rnacentral:rRNA from 1 species